UAAGAUACAAAAACAUAAAAAUAUUAAUUGAUCUCAAACCAACAUUCACACGAAUAUCGUUUGAUUUUCAUGUGAUCAAUUCUUACUUAAAUACGAUCUCACAAUAAACACUUCAUUGCACAAGUCACCACAGCUUCAAAGUAGGUCGAUAUAAGUAGACAGAAUUAUUGCUAAUUUAUUUUGUUGCAUUUUUACUUGUUACAAAAAGAAGUACAAGAAAAGCUAUGAAAAGAGCUUACAUACUGUUGUGUUUACUGGUUUUUAUUGAUUUGGUCAAAAUGGAGCGAUACAAGCAAAUGAAGGAAAGACCGACGAAAUCAUUAUUGGAAAAUACGUACAAAGAGAAUGUAAAUCGUGUAAUUUGUGGAAAAAUUCAUGGAGUGCAACAAUGGUGUCCGGAUGGUACAAAGUGUUGUCCAGUUCAUAGUUUUGAGAUCGAAUUUGAAAAUUACCGUUGUUGUCCUUGGUUGAAUGGAAUUUGUUGUUUUGACGGGAGUUGUUGUCGUUCUGGUUCUGGGUGUUUUGGGUUUGGCAAAUCGUGUUCUGUCCGAUGGAAUUCAACACAUGUGUGAAUAAAAUAAUGUAUAAUCUUUUCCAUGAUUACGAAUUUCUAUAUCUUGACUGGUUGGAAUGGAUAUUUUUUCAUUUAUUUAGAUUUUCAUAUACAACAAAAAAAUUAAGGAAAUAUAUAUCUUAAAAUAUGUUAUUGGUUUUAUGAAAUUUAUUGAGUAAUUUAUAUACCUCUUUAAAUGGUAUCUUUUCCAUUGAUUUUUACUUUUCUUUAUGACACUGAGCUGUAUAUAUACUUGGAGUGCGCGUAUAUAAAUUUUGUGGCAAGAAAUAUACUUCUUAUUUUUUCGUCUGACGUUAAAA